GGUAAAAUGGCUGAGGUUAAGCAUUGAACUGUAAAUUCAAAGACAGAGAUUAAUUAUCUCUUUUUACCA
rnacentral:tRNA from 1 species